CAGCCGCCGCGGGAAUGCGAAGGGGGCUAGCGUUGCUCGGAAUGACUGGGCGUAAAGGGCGCGUAGGCGGCGAUCAAAGUCAGGCGUGAAAUUCCUGGGCUCAACCUGGGGGCUGCGUUUGAUACUUGAUUGCUUGAGUGGGGAAGAGGGUCAUGGAAUUCCCAGUGUAGAGGUGAAAUCCGUAGAUAUCGGAAGGAACACCUGUGGCGAAAGCGGCUCACUGGACAAUAACUGACGCUGAUGCACGAAAGCUAGGGGAGCAAACAGGAUUAGAUACCCCUGUAGUCCCUGUCUCUUAUAC
rnacentral:rRNA from 1 species